rnacentral:lncRNA from 1 species
GAGAGAAAGAGAGAAAGAGAGAGAAACCAGGAAAAUGACUACCAGGAGGGUCUGUGGACCUAAUGGACAUACUGUGAAGCUGGUCAUGGCUGGGACUAACUAUACUUAUUACUUGACCCCGUAUUCCACCACCCUAGCAAGGCACCAUGAUGAUGCUUGAGUUUCCUUGGUAUCAAUGUCAAUGUGGACUCUAUGUUCAACUGUUCUCAAAAUACCUGCAUUCUUUCCCCAGUGUCUGAUUACUCAAGUUCUCCCUGUAGAAGGGCUGGUGGAACCUUAUCCUGUCCAUGUGCCAGCUGAUGCAGCGUCCUUCUUCAUUCGGUAGGUUCUAGAUCUUAACUUAGGCUGGAAACUGGACAAAGGAUCAUGACUUUAUUGGGUGGUUGAUGUUUUAAAAUAAGCUCUUGGGCCAGGCACGGUGGCUCAUGCCUGUAAUCCCAAUACUUUGGGAGGCUGAGGCAGGCGGAUCACCUUAGGUCAGGAGUUCCAGACCAGCCUGACCAAUGAGGAGAAGCCCCCAUCUCUACUAAAAAUACAAAAUCAGCUGGGCGUGGUGGUGCAUGCCUGUAAUCUCAGCUGCUCGGGAGACUGAGGCAGGAGAAUCGCUUGAACCCAGGAGGUGGAGGUUGUGGUGAUCCAAGAUCGCACCACUGCACUCCAGCCUGGGCAACAAGAGCGAAACUCUGUCUCAAAAAAAUAAAAUAAAAUAAAAUAAAAUAAGCUCUCUUUGACUGCCCAUCUAUCUUACCACUAGGAAUAUUAUGUUCUAUUAACCAUUUCCGGCUUGGCACGGUAGCUCAUACUUGUAAUCCCAACACUUUGGGAGGCCAAGGCGGGCAGAUCACUUGAGUGCAGGAGUUCAAGACCAGCCUGGGCAACAUGGUGAAACCCCAUCUUUACUAUUAAAAAUAUAUCUUAGGCUGGGCGUGGUGGCUCACGCUUGUAAUCCCAGCACUUUGGGAGGCUGAGGCAGGUGGAUCAUGAGGUCAGGAGUUCAAGACCAGCCUGGCCAACAUAGUGAAACCCCAUCUCUACUGAAAAUACAAAAAUUAGCCGGGUGUUGCGGCAUGCACCUGUAGUCCCAGCUACUUGGGAGGCUGAAGCAGGAGAAUUGCUUGAACCCAGGAGGCAGAGGUUGCAGUGAGCCGAGAUCGUGCCACCGCACUCCAGCCUGAGUGACAGAGCAAGACUCGGUCUCCAAAAACAAAACGAAACAAAACAAAAAAAUAUAUGUAUACCAUGCCCACCUUCUGACAGAUAAGUGCUGCUAUCAGAGGAGUUGAAACCAGAGCAACUCCAUCUUGAAUAGGGGCUGGGUAAAAUGACGCUGAGACCCACUGGGCUGCAUUCUCAGUUAGGCAUUCUAAGUCACAGGAUGAGAUAGGAGGUCGGCACAAGAUACAGGUCAUAAAGACUUUGCUGAUAAAACAGUUUGCAGUAAAGAAGCCGGCUAAAUCCCACCAAAACCAAGAUGGUGAUGAAAGUGUCCUCUGGUUGUCCUCACUGCUACACUUCCAUCAGUGCCAUGAUAGUUUACAAAUGCCAUGGUAAUGUCAGGAAGUUACCCUAUAUGGUCUAAAAAGGGGAGGCAUGAAUAAUCCACCCCCUGUUUAGCAUAUCAUCAAGAAAUAACCAUACGAAUGGGCAACCAGCAACCCUUGGGGCUGCUCUGUCUGUGGAGUAACCAUUCUUUUAUUCUUCUACUUUCUUAAUAAACUUGCUUUCACUUUACUC